rnacentral:rRNA from 1 species
AUUGAACGCUGGCGGCAGGCCUAACACAUGCAAGUCGAACGAGUGGCGGACGGGUGAGUAAUGUCUGGGCAACUGCCUGAUGGAGGGGGCUAACUACUGGAAACGGUAGCUACUACCGCAUACCAUCAGAUGUGCCCAGAUGGGAUUAGCUUGUUGGUGGGGUACCGGCUCACCAAGGCGACGAUCCCUAGCUGGGCUGCGAGGAUGACCAGCCAAAAUGGAACGGAGACACGGUCCAGAAUCCUAAGGGAGGAAGCAGUAGGGAAUAUUGCACAAUGGGGGCAAGCCUGAUGCAGCCAUGCCGCGUGUAUGAAGAAGGCCUUCGGGUUGUAAAGUACUUUCAGCGGGGAGGCGUUACCCGCAGAAGAAGCACCGGCUGACUCCGUGCCAGCCGCCGCGGUAAUUC